UAUUUUCUAAAUCGGACGACUGCCCCCGGGUUAUCUGCGUAUCGGCGGUGUGUUCUCCGCUAGAACCCGAGACCCGCACACCAGGGGAGGACGCAGCCCGAGGGGCCACCUGCAAGCCAGGCGUGGAGUCUCUCCAGGAACCGAGUCAGCUGGCACUGUGAGCUUGGACCCUCCGGCUUCCCGAACUGUGAGAAACACAUUUCUGUUGCUUAAGCCACCAGGUGCGUGGAGCGCGCGUGUGAAAGUUGGAUGGGGUGGGCCCCUGAGGCCCCACGUGUCGGACAGAGCCCAACACGUGCAGUGCUGGUGUGUGGACUCCCCCGCCACCCACGGCCCCUGGAGCUUGAGCGAGGCAGUCCUGCAGGUGAUGGGCAUGGAAGACAAUCCAGAGGCAAGUUGUGC